rnacentral:rRNA from 1 species
AUUGAACGCUGGCGGCAGGCCUAACACAUGCAAGUCGAGCGGAUGAAGGGAGCUUGCUCCUGGAUUCAGCGGCGGACGGGUGAGUAAUGCCUAGGAAUCUGCCUGGUAGUGGGGGAUAACGUCCGGAAACGGGCGCUAAUACCGCAUACGUCCUGAGGGAGAAAGUGGGGGAUCUUCGGACCUCACGCUAUCAGAUGAGCCUAGGUCGGAUUAGCUAGUUGGUGGGGUAAAGGCCUACCAAGGCGACGAUCCGUAACUGGUCUGAGAGGAUGAUCAGUCACACUGGAACUGAGACACGGUCCAGACUCCUACGGGAGGCAACAGUGGGGAAUAUUGGACAAUGGGCGAAAGCCUGAUCCAGCCAUGCCGCGUGUGUGAAGAAGGUCUUCGGAUUGUAAGGCACUUUAAGUUGGGAGGAAGGGCAGUAAGUUAAUACCUUGCUGUUUUGACGUUACCAACAGAAUAAGCACCGGCUAACUUCGUG